AUAUCCUGGCAGUGGGCGAAGAGACACCUUGUGAAUGGUGAUGUUCUUAUUAUCAGUCAGGAGCAGAGCAGAUGGCAGUCCUUUGUUCAUCCUAGCUCGACGCCUGGCUUGGUGGCCAAAGCUAUUUUAUGCCUAGGACACAUAA
ensembl:snoRNA LOC120098372 small nucleolar RNA SNORA48